CAGAUGAUUGGGGUGAAGUCGUAACAAGGUAGCCGUAUCGGAAGGUGCGGCUGGAUCACCUCCUUU
rnacentral:rRNA from 2 species